rnacentral:lncRNA from 1 species
CCCCCUGCCCCAAGCACCCCAGUCCUGCCCCCCAAAUCCCCCAACCCAUUGCCUCAAGCACUCCGCUCCUAACCCCAUACGUGGUGUCCCCAGCCCCAGGCUCCUUGGACCCACACCUCAAAUGACCUCCUGCAAAUGCACCCUGGCCCCCUUGCACAGGGUCCUCACCCCUCUUUUGGGUGCCUGUGGGGGACCCCCCGGGGACACUGGCACAGGGCAGCUGGGCCCCCAGAGUUGCCCCUCACCUGGGGGCUGCAGGUACAGGGGCAGCUGGGGGCAAUUAGUGUGGGAUGGAAGCAGCAGCUGCCCGCAGGUUGGAGGAAAACUCCAACCCAAUUUUCCCUCAAACACGGUUUUUCUCUAUUGUAUUUCCCCUUGUCCAGCCAGGGACUGUUCCCAGGCUCCCGGGAAGCCACUUGCACCCUCUGUUCACAACUGAUUCGUCCGGCUUCUCCGGUCUGCGUCAGCCUCUCGGGCUCCAUCUUCGGGCGGCUUUUCCCAGCUCCCUCGCCGCUUCUCCUCUGGCCUCGAGGGUCAGCGAGGAGCGGUUUGCCAGAGGCGAGGGCCGCUGAGACGGCAGGUGAGGUGGCUGCAGCACUCGGACGUCCGGCUGCGCUGCUGCUUCUCCCUGUGCCCCGCGGAGCUGCACGCCGCGUGCCUGCUGCACGCAGCCCUCGGGGAGCAGGGGAGGGAGAACGGCAGCGGGGAGGCGGGAGCAGCCCCUUCCCCUGCCGGGGGGGCUGGAGGGGCAGGGGGCAGAGCGCCAUGCAGAGCAAGUCGCAGACUACCCUUUCGUCUGGUAACUUUGUUGGCACGUUACCUUUCUGUGCUAAAAGAGGAGUUUGCCUAACAGCACCCUCUGGUGAGUCCUGCGAUGCAGCAAACUGAGGAUCAGAAGGAGCAGCCUGCAUCGCACGGCGCUGUCCCUCACCGCUGGGGCAACGAGGACGUGUAAUCUAUUCAGUACAUCUAUAAAAAACAUAUUUUUAACAUCUUUAUGAUCAGGUGACUCUUCAGGGUAUUCAGCAGCUCUCUGUUUCAGCUAACAUUUGUCAAAAAUCAUGAAAGAGCUUUGUAAGUUACAACUGCUGCACGCUAAAGGCUUAAACCAGUGUGAAAGCACCUUAACUACAGAAUGCAACUGCAAAUGUUUAAAGGAUAUUUAUAGGAAAAUAAAAUUACACAUAGCCAGUAAGAGACCUGUGGA